GAGGCGCCUUGAUGCCCUUCAGGGGCGGGUGUCGCAGGCGAUCACACUGAGCAGCUGGUGGCAGGAGUUGCCAAGAAAGAGCCUUCCCUGGAGGGUUGGGACCCCUGGAGGGGCCGUAACCAGAGGGAGCCGCGGACCCAGGCCAGUUGUCCCCACGCUGCUGGGCCUCCUGCCAGGAAACGUGCCAAACAGAGGCUUCCUGCUGAUGCCGGGAACUUUCCAGAGUAGAAGGCACCUGGACUGGCCCUGCCACAGGUUCCUGUUUAGAGCACAAGGGACCCUUGCCCAUCCUCGGGGUUCUCUAAGUCAAGCGGCCCGACUCAGGCACCCGAAGGGACUGGUCAUGCCCCGGAGGAGGAGCAAGGGUGGCCAAUCCGGAGGGCAUAGACUACAGCCACCUGCCACAUGGCCACAUCUGUCCUUCUGAAGAGAGGUGCCUCCGUGACUCCGGGCAAUUGUCUCCAGAUGGAAUCGUGGGCCUUCAAAUGUUGAGGAGGAGCGCUGAGAGCAUUCCCGACUUGAGCCUGCAAGAACAAUGUCAUUAUCUAUGAAAAACCUGUUUACUGGCCACCAAGGAGGCAGAGAACUAGUUCAGCUGCCCUGUUAGUCUAGAAAAUACUGUGGCUGGAAAGUGACAGAAAUAUAAAUCUACAAAGCCCCAGCCAACAUCUCAAGCACCACACUCCUUCUCUGGGGCCAGCAUUACUUACUAUCCCAAGCUCCGAUCCUGAAGCAUUCAGCAGUUCCUCCUGAAAACAUGAAAAGUUCUGAUAAUAUUUCCUGUUCUUUAAUACUUUGAAUACUGAGAAGCUACACCUUGUUUAUACGAUAACACUCCAUGAAACAAGUGGAGUAUAUGAUUCACUAACUGCAGAUGCCUAUUCUGAGAUGAACCAAGAAAGUUUGGA